rnacentral:rRNA from 1 species
AGGAUGAACGCUGGCGGCGUGCUUAAUACAUGCAAGUCGAACGGGGAAUGUAGCAAUACAUUUCUAGUGGCGAACGGGUGAGUAACGCGUUGAUGACCUGCCCCGAAGUGUGGGAUACCAAUUCGAAAGGAUUGCUAAUACCGCAUGUGACCGCUGGGAUUAGAUGCCUGGUGAUUAAAGGCGAAAGUCGCUUCGGGAGGGAUCUGCGUCCCAUCAGCUAGUUGGUAGGGUAAUGGCCUACCAAGGCUAUGACGGGUAGGGGACCUGAGAGGGUGGCCCCCCACAAUGGAACUGAAACACGGUCCAUACACCUACGGGUGGCAGCAGUAGGGAAUAUUGGUUAAUGGGCGAAAGCCUGACCCAGCAACGCCGCGUGUGCGAUGAAGGCCUUCGGGUUGUAAAGCACUUUUGGAGGGGAUGAGGAAGGACAGUACCCUUCGAAUAAGCCUCGGCUAACUACGUGCCAGCAGCCGCGGUAACACGUAGGAGGCGAGCGUUAUCCGGAUUUACUGGGCGUAAAGCGUGUGCAGGCGGUUUGGUAAGUUGGAUGUGAAAGCUCCUGGCUUAACUGGGAGAGGUCGUUCAAUACUACCAGACUAGAGUAUGGGAGAGGGAGGUGGAAUUCCGGGUGUAGUGGUGAAAUGCGUAGAUAUCCCGAGGAACACCAGUGGCGAAAGCGGCCUCCUGGCCCAUUUCUGACGCUCAUACACGAAAGCUAGGGUAGCAAACGGGAUUAGAGACCCCGGUAGUCCUAGCUGUAAACGAUGUAGACUUGGCGUCGGCGGGUUUAAAUCCGUCGGUGCCGUAGCUAACGCGAUAAGUCUACCGCCUGAGGACUACGGCCGC